rnacentral:rRNA from 1 species
AUUAAACUGCCACUCAAGAUCAGGAUAUUCUUAUGGCAGUGGAUUAGAGGUAGGGUACCUUCUCGGGUGGAGGUGCUCAAACAGAAUGGUCCUGAGGAUGGGAUGUGCCCCCUAUGCGGCACGAUGGAGGACUCGAACCACAUCUUCUUUGCGUGUGUCACGGCCCAAUUCCUUUGGAGUUGCUUUUGCGAAACCGUUGGCGGUCAUUGGUGCCAUACCAACGUCCCCGACCUCUUCGCGGAGAUCCAGUCCAUCCCCCCGUCGGCCCGCCACAUUAGGUGGCUGACCAUUAGGGUGCUAGUGUGGACUCUCUGGAUGGUCCGCAAUAAGCUUGUGAUUCAACGUGUUCCCCUUCGACGUUCCACUGACGCUGUCUUUAAAAUGUGUGCUUUCCUGCAGCUCUGGCGGCCGCUUAGCCGCCCCUCCGACUGA